rnacentral:rRNA from 1 species
GAUGCAGCCAAGCGCGGGUAAACGGCGGGAGUAACUAUGACUCUCUUAAGGUAGCCAAAUGCCUCGUCAACCAACUAUUGACGCGCAUGAAUGGAUCAACGAGAUUCCUGCUGUCCCUAGGUGCCGUCUGGUGAACCAACAGCCAAGGGAACGGGCUUGGGGGUGUCAGCGGGGAAAGAAGACCCUGUUGAGUUUGACUCUAGUUCGAUGGUGUGCAGCAGCAUGAAGGGUGUAGCACAGGUGGGAGGCCGUGUGCCAAAGGGCGGCCAGAAAGGGAAACCGCAGCACGGCAGGCAACCGUGGCAGCGGAGUGUGAUGGCAAGAGGAACAGGGGUGCGGGGAUUGGAGACUUGCUGGUGAUCGUCUGGGCUAUGCUAUGUGCGAUGGUAUCCUGAAGGUGUCCCGCUGGGACACAAGGUCUGUGCAGCCGCAGCAGCGGUUUUUUCCUGGAGUUCGUGGGUUUGAAGAGCAAAGCAGCGUGGAGUGACUUCUCUGAGCAAAGUGUGGACCUCUCUUGAGCCAAGGCAAGGGAGUUGUGUGGUCGUAGUUCUGGUGAACCCGUUUGGGUUCUUCUGCAAAGGCACCAAUGGAUAUGUCACAUAUGCUUCCGAACCGCAGUGAAAUAUGCUACAGGUCCGUGAGUCUCCUCAGGGGACAUCUGGCAACGAGCCAUGCCAGGAACCAGUCAGCCAAGGGAACAUGAUCGAACCAAAGAAGAAGGGAGAGAGACUCGUGCCCUCCAACUCUCCCAGCACGCCUCUGUUGCCAAUGGGUUGUGUCCCAUGCCUUCCUACGUGGGACGUGUGAAAACACAGUGCAAUAUGCUACAGGUCUGUGAUCUCCUCAGGAAAUCUGGCAAAGUUACCAACCGGUUUUGGCAGUAACGGAAGGGCAAGAGCCAUGCCCAGAGAGCUCCUUGUGUGUCCGCGCAGCAUGACCAGCAGUGAAAUACCACUACCUUCACCGCCGCUUUACUCAUUGAGUGGCUGGGGACCGGCAGCCAUUGGACAUCAGCCGGCCCAUUCCCUGGGACGGCUGUGGCUACGAACCGAUUCGUGCACCAAGCGUCUGUGGGAAACCGAGACGUGACCCUGGGGAUUGCCCAUCCACACACGCCUCACGACACUGAUCAGUUGGGGAGUUUGGCUGGGGCGGCACGCCUGUUACAGGACAACGCAGGCGUCCUGAAGCAAUGCUCAGAUGGAACAGAAAUCUCCCAGGGAGGAGCAGGUCAAAGGUGCUGCUGAUGCCGCGACUCUCAGUGUGAGUCCAGAACAUGCAGGUGUGGCCUUACGAUCCUUUGGCCAAGCGCUCGAGUUUGGGAUAUUGAAGCCAGAGGUGUCAGAAAAAUUACCACAGGGAUAACUGGCUUGUGGCGGCCAAGC